CAGGGCUGAAGCCAGCAGCCCCGCGAGCUGGCAAGGUGGCUGCUGGUUGAUCACUGCUGUCUCCUUUUCAGGAGGAGGUGAGCUGUACACCUGGGGCUGGGGUAAAUAUGGACAGCUGGGCCACGAGGACAACACCAGCUCUGACCAGCAGCGGCGCGUAGACUACCUCGCAGCCAACGGACUACGUGCUGAGGAUGUGGUGUGUGGGCCCUGGACCACCUACGUGUGCGUGCUGGAGCAGUGAGGGCUCCCAGCGACGCUGUGACUGCUGCAGGCUCGGGGGGAGGACGACACUGCCUUCCCGCGCUGCCACCAGGACCAGCCCUGGCAGCUGCUCUGCUUUCUUCUCUGUGAGGCUGAACAGCCUUCACAGAGAGAGAUGACACAGCCGGGUCUGACACCGCACUGAACUGAACUCACACACUCGAAGGGGGUUGCUGCGCUGAACAGGGAAGGACCGAGUUUAUUUAUUACAUCUCCUUUUUCAUAACACAGCUGCGGUAAUGCUUCAUGUUGCAUAGAGGGCUGUUCCAGUCUUCCUGGCAGCUCUGGGAACAGGCCAGGUUUAAUGCAUGCAGGCUGAAGAGAGCCACCCUUGCUCCUCUCCCCCUCCCAGGACACACAGGGCCACCCCCACGCAGCCUGUGGGCACCCCAACAUACCGACACCAACAGCACUGGCUAUAUACACAGAUAUGCAUUAUUCCCAUAAACAGUAUAUACAGAGUUACAGAGCAAAGGGACAAAAGCCAGGGAAUAAAUAACAGCAGUGGGGGACUGUAGUGAUAACAAGGUGCAAAUUAGUCAUGAUGAUCAGGGACAGACAAACAUACAUACAGAGCUUCAUUAACAAAGGUGCAAACAGGCUGCCACCAGCUAUGCCCAGUGCCACGUGUAGGACCACAGAAGCACGCGGCUUGCUGAUCCUCGCUGGAGGGAAGGAGGGCAGCUAGGAGCCCUGGGUGGUGCGGAGCACGUGUGGGAGCCGUAACAAGCUGCCCCUUUGCAGGGGUGAAGUCGUCCUUGUCCCACUGCAACUCGACUCUUCGCUAGCAACAGGAGCUCGGGCGACCCCCUCCACUAGCUCUGCUGCAUCCAGAGCUGGGGGCUAGCGGAUACCACACAGCUCCCUCUGCUCUUUCUGAGCGCAAAAGGGCAGCACGGCCCCCGCAGGACAGCAUUGAGGCUUGUUUUCAGUGGCGUGUGCUGCUGUUCCCUCCUGGGGACCCCAGGUUCAGAGCUGGGGAGCACAGGGGGAAGCUGUUUGACACUCAGCCCUGAGUCCAGCCUGCAGCACAGGGCGAGCCUAUCGCGCACCUACCAGCAAGCUGGGCACAGCCCGCUAAAGAAAUCUUAGCUAACAUAAGUCCCUGUUACAAACAGGCCUGCUGUGCCCUUGGGAAGAUCGUGAUGGAAAACAACUACAGAAACAUGGAGAAAAGAACUGGGAUGAGAGACUCUGAGGCCAAGUCUCCCCAAAAGAGGUGCCAUCUGUCCCACAGCAUGAUCAGAAAGGCAGAGCCCUCGUGACCUAGCACCAACACCCCAGCCCCAGGUAGGCUGCAGAAGGUCCCUCUGCAGCAGAAGCCAGCACCCACUGCUGUGCUACCCCAACAAGACAGUGUACUCAAAACUUUAAUCUCAAAUAGUUGAAAAAAAUAAAAGCAGUUUUUAAAAACAAGUGUCCCUUUCAUACCCUAUCCUGGCAGGUAGCUACAUUCCCCCAAACCCGCAGGAAGCCAGGCUUGCAGAGUAACAGCUGGGACCUAGCUAAAAGUUAGGCCUACAGCACUGCGUGCUUUGGGUCCAGA